CUUUUCCAUUCUUUGCUACAGUUACUAUGGUCCAUGGUCUUCUUAAAGCAUUUGUAUAUUUUGUUUUUCAUGUAAAACAACAUUGGGCUUCAUUGAGAUGACUUGUAAAAAGGUCCUGAAAACCUAAGUUUAUGGUAUAAUGAGGAAUGG